CCAGGCCCUACGGGGUGCAGCAGGCGCGAAACCUCCGCAAUGUGAGAAAUCGCGACGGGGGGAUCCCAAGUGCCAUUCUUAACGGGAUGGCUUUUCAUUAGUGUAAAGAGCUUUUGGAAUAAGAGCUGGGCAAGACCGGUGCCAGCCGCCGCGGUAACACCGGCAGCUCUAGUGGUAGCAGUUUUUAUUGGGCCUAAAGCGUCCGUAGCCGGUUUAAUAAGUCUCUGGUGAAAUCCUGCAGCUUAACUGUGGGAAUUGCUGGAGAUACUAUUAGACUUGAGAUCGGGAGAGGUUAGAGGUACUCCCAGGGUAGAGGUGAAAUUCUGUAAUCCUGGGAGGACCGCCUGUUGCGAAGGCGUCUGACUGGAACGAUUCUGACGGUGAGGGACGAAAGCUAGGGGCGCGAACCGGAUUAGAUACCCGGGUAGUCCUAGCUGUAAACGAUGCGGACUUGGUGUUGGGGUGGCUUUGAGCUGUCCCAGUGCCCAAGGGAAGCUGUUAAGUCCGCCGCCUGAGAAGUACGGCCGCAAGACUGAAACUUAAAGGAAUUGCCGGGGGAGCAUCACAACGCGUGGAGCCUGCAGUUUAAUUGGAGUCCCCGCCGGAAC
rnacentral:rRNA from 1 species